UACGUAGGGUGCAAGCGUUGUCCGGAAUUAUUGGGCGUAAAGAGCUCGUAGGCGGUUUGUCGCGUCUGCUGUGAAAACGCGAGGCUCAACCUCGCGCCUGCAGUGGGUACGGGCAGACUAGAGUGCGGUAGGGGAGAUUGGAAUUCCUGGUGUAGCGGUGGAAUGCGCAGAUAUCAGGAGGAACACCGAUGGCGGAAGGCAG
rnacentral:rRNA from 1 species